GGUCCCUGAAUGGUUUUGUGAGCUUGAAAGCGAUGUGAUCCCACAGCUGUGGCCAUGCUGGCCACCGUGAAUGAAUUCCAUGCUUAAGGGAGACCGAUGAUGUCGCUGGAGUACAGGGUCAUCUGGAGCCAAUCCCAAGUAACAUAGAGUCCUGUUGAAGAUACCAGGGUCCCACUGGGAAGCCACACCUUGUGAGGAGGACAUAUAUGCUCCUUCCAGAGAGAGAACAGACAGGAUUUGAACCCCUAACCCAAAGAGAUGGUAGAAUGAAGUACUUAUCCGAAAUGAAGGGGUGGACACCCACAAUACAGGUCCCUCCAUCUUCAAGUCAAAUAAGGAUCUUUCAGGAAGGAGCCCAGGACUCAACCAACUUUUGUAUAGCCAUGAGGGAGACCCCGAGUCCCAGAGGGAAUAAACACAAUUUCAGCAUUAAUGGAAACAUCUGUCAUUGCUGGCUAAGAUUUCUCAAGUGAGCUGACCUUCUUCUCUGCUCCAAUGGUCUUUUAAAUUUCUGUUCAGCUCCCUCUCUAAUCUUCCGUUUUCGCCACUGAAGAUCCACACUUCCGCUGUGCCACUCAAGGACAUCCAGACAGUUGUACCAGAAGCCACUCCAGCAUUGUUUUGGCUGUGUGCUUUGGAUUGCCAUGCUAAAGGAUAUCCAAGCUUGUGUCCACUCUGGGCCAGGUGUUCUUCAUGGACUUCUCAGGAUCUGGCUUAGUUUACCUUCUCCUUGGUCCGGAACCAGAUGGCCAGUCCCCACUGAAGCACGCCUGCAACACGGCAGCAUAAUGCUUCACCAUCGGAAUGGUAUUUGGUUCUGAC